rnacentral:rRNA from 1 species
AUUGAACGCUGGCGGCAGGCCUAACACAUGCAAGUCGAACGAGUGGCGGACGGGUGAGUAAUGUCUGGGAAACUGCCUGAUGGAGGGGGAUAACUACUGGAAACGGUAGCUAAUACCGCAUACCAUCGGAUGUGCCCAGAUGGGAUUAGCUAGUUGGUGGGGUAAAGGCUCACCUAGGCGACGAUCCCUAGCUGGUCUGAGAGGAUGACCCAGCAAACUUGAAACGAGAAACGGUUCAAGCUUCGACGGGAGGCAGGAGGGGGGAAUAAUGCCACAUGGGGCGAAGCCCGGAUGAAGCAUUGCGGGGGAGUGAAGGAGGCCUUCGGGUUGGAAAGUAUUUUAAGCGGGGAGGCGGUACCGGAAGAGAAAGCCACGGCUAACUCCGUGCCAGCAGCCGCGGUAAUAC